GAAAGCCUCAGCUGCGCGGCGUCUGAGGGCUUCGUGCCCAAAGUGCUAUGCUUCGGCCGGCAAAAAACAGUCAACUCAGAACUGGCACGGACCGGGGGAAUCCGACUGUCUAAUUAAAACAAAGCAUUGCGAUGGCCGCUGGUCGGUGUUGACGCAAUGUGAUUUCUGCCCAGUGCUCUGAAUGUCAACGUGAAGAGAUUCAUCAAAGCGCGGGUAAACGGCGGGAGUAACUAUGACUCUCUUGGCCAUGCUUAGGAUGAGUGAUGUUCCUGCAUGUGGAGACGCAGUGAAUGUCC
rnacentral:ncRNA from 1 species